UGCGGGGUGGAGCAAAGGAAGCUCGUCUGGCUCAUAACCAGAAGGUUGCAAGUUCGAGUCUUGUUCCCGCUA
rnacentral:tRNA from 1 species